rnacentral:lncRNA from 1 species
UCGUCCACAGUUAUUAUGGGAGUAGUAUUGCAACUCAAAAUGAAUUCAAAUCCUCUCAAGGUUUUUGUCUUUCUUCCCUUCUGCCAUCUUCAUUUUAUUUUUCACCUUUCUCUCUUGAAUUUCUCAUUUCUUCUAUUUUCUUCCCUUCUGCCAUCUUCAUUUUGUCUUCCUCCCCUUUAAUUUCUUCCUAAUUAGUAAUUAAUUAUUUGUUUUCCUCCUUGCUUAAACAAUCUUUCCCGUUGACUUGCCCAUUUCACCCCACUAUCCGUUCCGUUUCCGUUGGUAUAGGCCACUUCUUAUCAGCAAAGAAAGAAAGACAAACCCAAGGACGUAAACCGGCUGCCAUCUUUCCCGGUUGACUUGCCCAUUUCACCCCCACUAUCCGUUCCGUUGGUAUACGCCAACAAUUGUACAGAAGCCAUGUUUCCGACUUCUUAUCAGCAAAGAAAGAAAGACAAACCCAAGGACGUAAAGACUGCGUUGAGGAUAUGAAAUCUUGGCUUUUAUAUCUUCUGUUGAAGGAUCGGAAAUCUUGGCCUUUAUAUCCUCUGCUAUUCAAGUAAUUCCUUUGUUUUUAGAUUUUUGUUAAUUUAGCAUUUAAAUCUUUCUCUUCCUGAAAGUGAAAUUUUAUGGAAAUCUUCGUUUUUAUAUCUUUUGUUGAAAGAAUUCAAGUAAUUCCUUUGUUUGUAGAAUUCUUUUAAUUUAGCAUUUAAAUCUUUCUCUUUUUGAAAGUGAAAUAUUAUGGAAAUCUUGACUUUUAUAUCCUCUGUUGAAAGAAUUCAAGUAAUUCCUUUGUUUUUCGAUUUCUGUUAAUUUAGCAUUUAAAUCUUUCUCUUUCUGAAAGUGAAAUUUUAUGGAAGUGUAGACUUUAGCCCCUGUACCAUUUUUAUUUUUUAAUAAAUCUUGGGUCAGUGAAUCAGUGAAUCCUUUAUAAUAGUGUCAAUCUUUUAUAAUUGAUUUCGUUUCUCUAUAUGCCACAUAUAUUGUUUCCUUUUGGUGCUUGAUAUUCUAUGGUGAUCAAAUAUAGUUAGUUCAAUUACCAAAAAGAUUUAGUAUAAUGCAGACUUUGGUCUUCCCUUUUCCCACUUGUGCUAAUUGUGAGAAUUAAGAAACUCCUUCUCAUCCCCGUAUAUGUCUGCUUCUUGCUCAAAAUUUAGGACUUGAAAGAAUGUUGCAUGUUGCUUAAGUCCAACCAAGAAAGGCAUAAACUCUUUGGGCAUUGCUUGGGNNNNN